AUUAAUAUAUAUUGUAUUUGUAAAAUAAUUCUGAAAAUAUAAAUAAACAUAAAUAGAAAUAAACAUAAACAGAAAUGAACAUAAACGAAAAACUAAUUAGAGCCCACUGAAUUCACAGUAUUUCCUUAACGAAUUUAAUCCCUCCUAGUAUCAAAGGUUAUGGAUUAUUUCCUACCAGGAUGAACGAAAUACACACUGGUGUAGUGGUACUUCAAACCCUAGUUUCAGCGAAC
rnacentral:lncRNA from 1 species